CGUAUUUUAUUGGUUUCCCGCGCUUUGCAUGUAACACUGCCCCCAACAGCCAAUACUAGGAGUUGGGCCUUAGUGUUAAUAACGAGCGGACGGAUCUAUUUCUUCAGUUACUAGUGCUCCUGUAUUGCUACCUAAACACUUUCUGUGAGUACCUUUUUCAUUUUUUCCCCUUAAUACCCUCUCCUUUGGGGUUAAAUCAACCCUCCUACUUUAGGUAAUUAUUCUGACCAUAAUUAUU